rnacentral:lncRNA from 1 species
AGGACAAUAACAAAAUUGUCUUACUCUUUAUUGAAAACUAUUUUUUUUUAACAUGGGCACAUCCUUAAACUUGAUCUUCUGUGAGAACGUGUGUGUUCCAGCAAGAAAGAAGGAGGAAGUGGAAGUGAAGCUUUCUUUACGGUAGCGGUUGCCUCUGGAAAUGGAGGAAAGGAGAAGUGAUGGGGCUUUAGCUGUUCCUGUUCCUUAAAACCGACAAACAAGAUACUCACCAAGACUGAAACACGUAUAACGAAAUAUGAAGAGUUAUUUUAUCUCAGUGAGAACCACAAACAGUGCUGCAGCAUUCUCUUGAUCCUCCUUUUCUUUCAUGUGAAGUCCAAAAAUGUAUCAAAGGAGGCUUCUGAAUUCAAUUCAGAAAAUAGACAGGGAUUCAGAUGUCAAGAACAGCGGCCCAGCAUACUCCAGGUCACGUACUGCUCUCACCAAUAGAAUGGAGUGGAAGUGAUAUUCUGGGACUUCUGAGCUGAGGCUUUAAGAAGACCGGCGGCUUCUGCUUCCUUCCUCUUGGAGUGCUUUCUUGUGAGACACUCCCCCAUGGACCCAACCAAUAUGCUAUGAGAAGCCAAAGACAGAAAGAAAAGCCAUAUUGAUAAGGGAGCC